rnacentral:rRNA from 1 species
GGUUGAUCCUGCCAGUAGUGAUAUGCUUGUUUCAAAGAUUAAGCCAUGCAUGUGUAAGUAAAAACUUUUAUACAGUGAAACUGUAGAUGGCUCAUUAAAACAGUUGAAGUCUACACAGUUAAUUUUUAAAUGUAUAACUUCGGAAAUUCUGAAGCUAAUACAUGAAACAGGCCUGACUUUUGUGGAAAGGCUGUUUUUAUCAUUUGAUGAAUCAGAACGUUUCGGCGUAAUUGGUUGAAUAAUAAUAAAAACUAGAAUCUUUUAUAAGAGAAACUGUAUGAUCUUCUGACCU